rnacentral:rRNA from 1 species
CUACGGGAGGCUCCAGUGAGGAAUAUUGCACAAUGGGGGGAACCCUGAUGCAGCAACGCCGCGUGGAGGAUGACGCAUUUCGGUGUGUAAACUCCUUUUAUAUGUCAAGAAAAUGACGGUAGCAUAUGAAUAAGCACCGGCUAACUCCGUGCCAGCAGCCGCGGUAAUACGGAGGGUGCGAGCGUUACUCGGAAUCACUGGGCGUAAAGGACGCGUAGGCGGGUUGGAAAGUCAGGCGUGAAAUCCUACAGCUUAACUGUAGAACUGCACUUGAAACUUCUAAUCUAGAGUAUGGGAGGGGGAGAUGGAAUUAGUGGUGUAGGGGUAAAAUCCGUAGAUAUCACUAGGAAUACCUAAAGCGAAGGCGAUCUCCUGGAACAUUACUGACGCUAAGGCGUGAAAGCGUGGGGAGCAAACAGGAUUAGAUACCCGGGUAGUC